rnacentral:rRNA from 1 species
AACGAACGCUGGCGGCAGGCUUAACACAUGCAAGUCGAGCGCCCCGCAAGGGGAGCGGCAGACGGGUGAGUAACACGUGGGAAUCUACCCAUCCCUACGGAACAACUCCGGGAAACUGGAGCUAAUACCGUAUACGCCAUUUGGGGGACAGAUUUAUCGGGGAUGGAUGAGCCCGCGUUGGAUUAGCUAGUUGGAGGGGUAAAGGCCUACCAAGGCGACGAUCCAUAGCUGGUCUGAGAGGAUGAUCAGCCACAUUGGGACUGAGACACGGCCCAAACUCCUACGGGAGGCAGCAGUGGGGAAUAUUGGACAAUGGGCGCAAGCCUGAUCCAGCCAUGCCGCGUGAAUGAUGAAGGCCUUAGGGUUGUAAAGUUCUUUCACCGAUGAAGAUAAUGACGGUAGUCGGAGAAGAAGCCCCGGCUAACUUCGUGCCAGCCGCCGCGGUAACAC